GCUGGAUUUAAGUCUCUUUUAAAAUCUAACAUCAUAUAAAGGACAGAAAGUACAUCUGACAUCAGUCAAAUCAAUAUGUCAAAAUUAGGCUUUGAUGAAGGCAGGCAGGGGGAAAAAAAUCAAGCACCAGAUUUUAAAGUCCAAUGUUGAUUAGAAAAGCAACAAAAUAAGGAAGAAAAUGUGUCCAGCAGCUUCUAGCACUUGCUGGUACCAAUAAUAAAUAACAGGAAAUGUGGCUGAUGUGAAACAUUUUUUACUAGGCAAAAUUUCACACACCAUUUCCGCAAAGACCAAUAAAAUCAUUUUGGAAAAAGCAACUAAGCUGGUCAUCAAAGUUGUCAAUCCUGUUGCUGGAGAGCUAAGCAAAGAAAAUAAA
rnacentral:lncRNA from 1 species